rnacentral:rRNA from 1 species
GUGGGGAAUCUUCCGCAAUGGACGAAAGUCUGACGGAGCGACGCCGCGUGAGUGAAGAAGGCCUUCGGGUCGUAAAGCUCUGUCAUCAGGGACGAACGGCCGGUGGAGUGGAAAGCCACCGGAUUGACGGUACCUGAGAAGGAAGCCACGGCUAACUACGUGCCAGCAGCCGCGGUAAUACGUAGGUGGCAAGCGUUGUCCGGAAUUAUUGGGCGUAAAGCGCGCGCAGGUGGGAUCUUAAGUCCAUUUUGAAAGUUCGGAGCUCAACUCCGUGAUGGGAUGGAAACUGGGAUUCUUGAGUACCGGAGAGGAAAGCGGAAUUCCCCGUGUAGCGGUGAAAUGCGUAGAUAUGGGGAGGAACACCAGUGGCGAAGGCGACUUUCUGGACGAAAACUGACGCUGAGGCGCGAAAGCCAGGGGAGCGAACGGGAUUAGAUACCCCAGUAGUCC